UACGGAGGAUGCGAGCGUUAUCCGGAUUUAUUGGGUUUAAAGGGUGCGCAGGCGGUCUGUUAAGUCAGCGGUCAAAGCCCGGGGCUCAACCCCGGCCCGCCGUUGAAACUGGCAGUCUCGAGUUGGAGAGAAGUAUGCGGAAUGCGCGGUGUAGCGGUGAAAUGCAUAGAUAUCGCGCAGAACUCCGAUGCGAAGGCAGCAUGGCCGGCUCC
rnacentral:rRNA from 1 species